UUUUCAUUAUAUUUUUUUUUUACGUUUACCACGACAGCUUGUGUGGUUUAAAAUCAAGUCAAGUUGUCAGCUUUGACACGGUAGUGCAACAUGCUAGCUAACGUUAACUAACUCGCUAGCACAAGGCCUGCAAACUGUAGCUAGCAGAGUCAAAAGGCUGUUAGUAACAAUAGCUUGCUAAUGAAAUCUUGACUGUCAAGAUUAUCCAUGUCACUGGCAAGUAAACGGCCCUCUAAUUGAUGUUAGCUAGCUAACUGGCUUGUUAGUUUAGCAACACCCCUUUCACCUGGUUAACACAACCACAGUCAUAAUUAUCGAUCAACUCCGCCCAUUGCCACAAUUUCUCUAAUUAACAUUUCAUGUUAAACCUAACCUUGAUUAACCACAACCUUAAAUUAGGACCAAAAAGCAAGUUCUUAUUGUUAAUUUUGACUUUGUGGCUAUGGAAUCUGAUUUAGUACCUGUUGUCUAAAGUUGGUCAGUGGAAACCCGUUCACCAAUCAUUUUAUUCUACCGUUCUGAACAGGAAGACCAAUUUAGCAGACAGUUUUGUCCUGUGCUUCGGACCUGUUAUUUACGGUGUCUGGAUCAGACUCGGCAACCAGGUUCAGGACAGUUCAUUUGUACAAGGUGACAACUUGACCUCUAAUGACCCUUCAGUGACACUUCUAUCACCCUCUGACCUACACUACAUGACAAAGUUGAAAAUCAUCCAAGAGGUCGUCUCCCCAGCGGUGAUGUUUGUGGCGUAGGCUCAGGGUGUGUCUCACCUCCCAUGGUGUUACCACCAUGGACCCAGAGUCAGCCCGCACAUCACAGCCCCAGGGCUCCCUUGGAAAAAGUGGGGUCUCCCUGCUAUCUGGCAGGGGUUUGGGGGCAGCUCUCACCCCUCGAGGGAAACACUAUGCGUGUGGUUCCAUAGCUGCCUUCACCAACAUCAUGGUGACAUUCCCGAUCCAGAAAGUUCUGUUCAGGCAGCAGCUGCACGGUGUGCGGGCCAGAGAGGCUGUCGGGCAGCUCCAACGGGACGGGAUGAGGAACCUCUACAGGGGGCUGCUCCCUCCUCUUCUGCAGAAGACCACCACGGUAGCCAUCAUGUUCGGCUUGUAUGAGGACUUCUCCCAUGUCUUACUGGACCAGUUGUCCACAGGCAGCGGCAUUCCUGAGCUAGUGACGCGGAGCUUCGCAGCUGCGCUGGCGGGCACAGCAGAGGCUGCCCUGAUGCCGUUUGAGCGGGUGCAGACUCUCCUCCAGGACCACCGGCACCACGGCCGCUUCCACAACACGGCCCACACCUUCCGGACGCUCCUAAGAGAGUACGGUGUGAAGGAGUGCUACCGCGGCCUGGUGCCAGUCUUAAUAAGAAACGGUCCCAGUAACAUGCUGUUCUUCGGGCUCCGCGGGCCCAUCAAGGAGCAGCUCCCUGAAGCCUCCAGCCGGGCCGGCCACCUGGUCAAUGACUUUGUGUGUGGAGGGGUGCUAGGGGCGGCGCUGGGGAUCAUGUUCUACCCGCUGAACGUGGUGAAGUCCCGUGCCCAGUCCCAAGUUGGUGGAGCGUUCCGGCCUUGUGGGGAGGUGUUAAUGACGGUUUGGCGGGAGAGAGGCGGCAGCGUGGCCAUGCUGUUUAGAGGGGCCCACCUCAACUACCACCGCUCCCUUCUCUCCUGGGGCAUCAUCAACGCCACGUACGAGCUGCUGCUCAAAGUGUUCUGAUACCGAACGGGGGAUAGAAAGAGGGGAAGGUGUAGAAAGGGGGAGCGAGAGAAAAAAUGAAAGACUUGCGUAAGUGUUUGAGGGUGAGGAUGAACGCAAUUUUUCUUCCUGGGGUCCGUAUAGUACAUCAAUAGACAAGAAAAGCUCAAGGAUAGAACUACAUUAAAAAAAGGCACCUAUAGCAUUUCUAUCAAUGCAUACACACUAACUAUCUCUGUCAAAUAGGGGAGAGGCGUUGUGACGCGAGGUAUUGCUUUAUCUGGUUUUUGAAUUGAUGCUGUCUCUUGUGUUUGGCACUUGAAACUGAUGUGCCCACUGCCCACCCAAUAAGGUCCAGAUAGUUUAUGUGGGGGGGUAAGUGUCUACGGCAAGCAGAAGAGGACAGAGGGUAUCUGAAAGGUGACGUUUCUCUACUGACAAUGGCCAUCAGUGUGAGAUGAAUUGCCGCUUGUUUAAAGUUACAGUAUCAAAGUGAGAGGUCUGGGUCCAACGAAAGCCUUCAUUCUUUUUUUUAUUUUUAUAAAUGUAUCAAUUGAAAUGGAUUUGACAAAUGAUUGGCAUUCUGUAAGUACCUUUCCCAUUGUAGUCGGAUGUGGUACCCAACAAAGUUUCAGAGGCAGUUUCACAGGGGGUAAGCCUUUUCAGUGACCAAGAGCACCUCUUAAAGAACUGUUCAGUGUUUUGACCAGUGUUUCUGUGUGCAUUGAUUAUUAGUCCCUUCGACCCCUGCUUUCCCUGCUCUGAUUCUCGGACUGUGAGCUCUGCUAUUUACCAUGUCGGUCAUCUUGGAUUAUGCAUAGAUUCGACCCUCUGCGGCGUACGAUCCUAGCGGCUUGCAGUGUACGACCCUAGCGGCUUGCGACCCUAGCGGCUUGCGGCGUACGACCCUAGCGGCUUGCGGCGUACGACCGUAACUGUGUUUGUCCUGUAGGUAUAGCGCUCGCCAGCUUGUAGUCCUAAAACACAGAAAUUAGGUACCUCUGGUUCGUUCAGCCAUUCCUAUGGGGAAUGAAUAUGGUUUGGAUUUUACACAGGCUUAGAAGAUCUUUUACGUUGUGUUCUAUGCAAUAUUAUCAGUCCGUUAACAGGACCUUUAUGAAUUAUGAAGACUGAUUUUUUUAUUAAAUAAAUGCAUCAAAAUUAACAAGUGACAUUAGCUGAUGAAGAUUAUCCCAUAGAACAAAAUUACAAAUCUCCUAAGCCUGUGUAUAUCACAGACCUUUAUCCAAAAACUCUACAAAACAUUUAUUUUGCCAUGGUUCGUUGGACAAAGCCUGAGUUAGUGCCUACCAAAAUCCGUUGUUACUGUUGCUCUCUAUAGUGCUCUCUUUUACUUGAAAGAUGAUUGGUAAAAGCAGUAGCUUAGAAGCACAGGGGAACUGGACUAGGGAAGUGCUUCAUUGUUAUGUCAUCCAAUGCCAAUCUAAGCAUAUCUUGAAAAUGUUUGUCAAAUGUGUGUUUAAUUAGCAUAUUCCCGAAGUGCUACUUGUAGUGUUUGUCUGUCAAAGUGUUGACAAGUACCCAUUGGUUUAAGUAUAAUUAAAAUGUACUUGUUACCCAUAACUUCUAGUCCUUCAUGAAAUAGACUGAAAAAAUAAUAAUAAAAAAUUCACACCAACAAUACAGGAACA